UGAGAUGCCAAGUGUCUUUGU
rnacentral:piRNA from 1 species